rnacentral:sRNA from 1 species
GUUUGUUUGAUGUUGUGGCUUUUUGUCUAAUUACAUUCGAAAUUUAUGUCACGAACAUUUGGGAAACAUUUUUCGGAGACUUUGAGCAAAUAAACUUUAUCCUUGACAAAUAUUGGCUACAACUUUUCGCUACAAUACGCGGAAGCAGACGUUAAACAUAUGCCGUUGGCGGUAACGGAAGAGGAAGUGGCAUAAAGGGAAGCGGAAGUGUUGAUAUGUGACAAAAGAUUUAAAAGAGAAUUGCAUUUAAAAGAAACAAUUUAAAGUGUAGGCAGUUGUUAAAGAGCCAAACAUCAAAGGAAAAUUAAAUUUUAAGAAAACUUUUUAGUUCGGCCGGUCCGAACUUUGGAUACUGAACAUCUCAGAUAUAUAUUACGACAAUUCGUAAAAAUCCGAUGAAAAUUAACUUUUGAUCAACCCAUAGCAGCUACAAAGAAAUAUGGUCUGACCUAGACCAAAUUCAAUGGGGAUGGCGUGGAGUGUAAUAUAUUCCAGCGAAUAUGCAGCCUUUUUACAGCUGUCACGCAUGCAAUGUCCUAUGUAAGGAUCGCUUAAGGAGUGAAGGUGGGGGAUUGACCAUCGUGAUAUUCCGUUACGUGCAGUAUAGACCAAUCUCGUCUACGCCUGGCGCUGGGGAGCCCUACAUGGAAUAUAAGAGGAUAGCAGUCAGGUCCGAUAUGCCAGUUUACAGCUUUGCAAUGUGUACGUACCGUCAAUUGGUUGUUGUUCAACUUUUGAAUAAAAACAUGCAAAAUUAAAGCAGUCUCAUUUUCAGCAGAGUUUCUGCUGCUACA